rnacentral:rRNA from 1 species
CCUACGGGUGGCUGCAGUGGGGAAUAUUGGACAAUGGGGGGAACCCUGAUCCAGCCAUGCCGCGUGUGUGAAGAAGGCCCUCGGGUUGUAAAGCACUUUCAGUGAGGAAGAACGCCUGGUGGUUAAUACCCAUCAGGAAAGACAUCACUCACAGAAGAAGCACCGGCUAACUCCGUGCCAGCAGCCGCGGUAAUACGGAGGGUGCGAGCGUUAAUCGGAAUUACUGGGCGUAAAGCGCGCGUAGGUGGCUUGAUAAGCCGGUUGUGAAAGCCCCGGGCUCAACCUGGGAACGGCAUCCGGAACUGUCAAGCUAGAGUGCAGGAGAGGAAGGUAGAAUUCCCGGUGUAGCGGUGAAAUGCGUAGAGAUCGGGAGGAAUACCAGUGGCGAAGGCGGCCUUCUGGACUGACACUGACACUGAGGUGCGAAAGCAUGGGUAGCAAACAGGAUUAGAUACCCCUGUAGUC